CUGUGUGCGUGUGUGUGUGUGUGGUUGGCAGAAAUUCUUUCCGGUGCGUUUUGCUUUGGAAGUGGCAAUUUAAACAAUUCGCGGUGCGAAAGCGCGAGCGCCGAAGGAUGAACAUGCAGCAAAGCGCCGAACGACCGCAUCCCCGUCACAGGACGGGGCAGCACAAGGGAGGAAAAGAGAGGAGCGAAAAAGUUUUCCUUCCCUCCCCUCCCCCGGUCUCGAGCGCUCCCGGGAAAAACUUCGUCAGCUGUAUAUAAAUCGAUUUUUCUCCGCAAUGCUCUCGCUCCUCCCCCCCCCCCAUACGGAAUGCAAGAAAACCCGGAAGCAACCGGCGCACACCGAGUGCGCCCUUACCCGACCGGAGCAACACCCACGGGAAGGACGCGAGCACGAACCCUGUCUGUGGCUGGUGGUGUUGGCUAUGUACACGAGUUGUGUGCAUCUGUACUCACCUACACACACAGAGAAAGCACUCACACCAGGGGGAAAAAAACGGGACAGCGAGCGAUAAACCAAGCGGUGUGACGUCGUCGUCCUUCUGCCGACGAAGACACACCCGCCUCUUCCGCACCAGACGGUUCCACAAGCCGGAAGAGACGUCCCGGAAAACAGCGUGCCAGCCAGCCAGCCAGCCAGGCUCGCGGAGUCAGCCUGUCAGUCAGUACGUGUGGGAAGUUGGGCGCCCUUACCCAACGCGGUAAAUGCGCACCACGGUCGGGAAUUUUCCCGACACACGCACACAGCGGAACCGGCGAGCCGGCGAGAGGGUGAGACUUUUCCCGACCCGAACAUUGCGUAGGACAUGAGCGGGAAGGAGCAGCACGUGCGAAAAAGGGACGACCGUACCUCCACUGGACUGGUGUGGUGUGAAUAUCUAUCCUACACACUAAGCAACGAACCCACACGUAAGCGCUUCCGUGUACGGCGACGAUGUCUACUACCACACUUACGUCGCACUUCCGCUCGUAUCGCCGACACGCGUCCUGGCAACGUGCACGAAGGCUAUGACCAACCCCAACGGCCAGACGGCAUUGAGGCCCACUCGGGCCCUUCGGUGGAUGCCGACGGCUGCCGCGCACCAGCGGAUGAGGGAUGUCUGUGUGUCGUGCCCCACCCACCCAAGCAGCGGGUGUGCAUGUGUGUGUGUCUGUGUGUGUGUGCAGGUGCGGAGCAGAAGCCACCUUUUUCUGCACAUGGAAUGGCAACGGCGACGGCGGCGGCGGCCCUCUUUCCACAGCAUUUAAAAAGCGCAGACAAAAUCGAUAUUUUUAGCCGGUGAGACUUUUGUUGCUUUCGGUGGGCGGCGAACGGGCAAAGCAUUGUGGAGGCAAUGCUACGAGACAUCCCUGUGUGUGUGUGUGCGUGUGAGGGAGAGAGAGAGAGAGUUGGUGGAGUUCUGUGGUCGGCUCCACCAUCGCACUGGCCGUCUGCCAGCGCAACCUGUGCCAAAUAGGGGCGAAAAGUGUGGUGAUUGCAGCAGAAACACACACACACACAGCCACACAUACACACACAACACACCAUCAAACAUGAAACAUGAAAAUUGCAUUCCUCAGGCCUCCCUCCACCGAGCCAGCCAGCGUGUCCAACGGUUCAUCGAUUUAUUCGAAGAAAAUUCAAAAAUCGUCCCGGAAAUGCCGGAAACGACAGAAACGGGAACGGGUUCGUUUUGUUCAACUUUUCGGGCUUUCCUGGAACCGACGGUACACACCGCCACUCCACGUGUCCCGUGCUUCCUGGGGGAGGCGAUGGGGGGAAAGGAUUUAUGAUGUUUUUCUGCCUUGCUCGGCAACACCCAUUCUCACACCAGAAGUGUCUGAGAUGAUGCUAGGCGAAGAAGGAAGCCGAAUGAAACGGAGGAGGAGCGGGGAGCUGUACUUCACACCCUUUCGUGCUUUCAAAUUCGAUUUAUGUCUCUAGUCGAUAAAUAACCAUUUAGGAUAUAAGAAGACGUGUCUAAUGAGUAGGACGCUUCUGUCCCUUUUCCGCUGUCCCCUUCGGCGUAGAAGGGAUGCGGCGCUCGGUUUAUAUAAAAUGUUGCAGACUGCAAUGAAAGUGCGUUCUUUAUGUGGCAUGCCAAGUUCCGCCAGGAUUAGGAUCAUUGGAGAGCGAGUGUCUUAAACCCGUUACUCAAACCGAGGAAUUUUGGGAAUAGAAUUAAAUCACUCACAGCAACUUCCUGGUAAUUCAAGAGUAGCUUUCAGCACUUAAAUCAAGAAGUCAGACAACUUUAGAUAACAGCAUUUAGAAAAAUAAUGAUGUGGAUGUGUAAGAUGUUUUCUAGUUCCAGUUUUUAGGUCUUUAAAAUCGUCACCAGCCAUGCUUAUCCAAAGACCGACAGCGAAGAAAAGAACACCAGACGUUGGAUGUCAACAUCUCAAGGUAUCACAAUCCCCACUAUCUCACCUUCAAGACGGGUUUGGAGAGUAACGCACACAAGCUGUAUUUAUGCCGCCGUGAACUGAAAGCCGGAUGUUCAGAUUCCGAUAUCAAGGAUAU